GCGUUCAUUAAAGUCGAGUUGGCUUAGGGAUACGUUCGUUGGGUAGGGGAGCGUUCUGUAAGCCUGUGAAGGUGUGUCGUGAGGCAUGCUGGAGGUAUCAGAAGUGCGAAUGCUGACAUAAGUAACGAUAAAGCGGGUGAAAAGCCCGCUCGCCGGAAGACCAAGGGUUCCUGUCCAACGUUAAUCGGGGCAGGGUGAGUCGACCCCUAAGGCGAGGCCGAAAGGCGUAGUCGAUGGGAAACGGGUUAAUAUUCCCGUACUUGGUGUUACUGCGAAGGGGGGACGGAGAAGGCUAUGUUGGCCGGGCGACGGUUGUCCCGGUUUAAGCGUGUAGGUGUGUGUUCCAGGUAAAUCCGGUUCACUUUAACACUGAGGCGUGACGACGAGGCACUACGGUGCUGAAGCAACAAAUGCCCUGCUUCCAGGAAAAGCCUCUAAGCAUCAGGUAACAUCAAAUCGUACCCCAAACCGACACAGGUGGUCAGGUAGAGAAUACCAAGGCGCUUGAGAGAACUCGGGUGAAGGAACUAGGCAAAAUGGUGCCGUAACUUCGGGAGAAGGCACGCUGACACGUAGGUGAAGUGAUUUACUCAUGGAGCUGAAGUCAGUCGAAGAUACCAGCUGGCUGCAACUGUUUAUUAAAAACACAGCACUGUGCAAACACGAAAGUGGACGUAUACGGUGUGACGCCUGCCCGGUGCCGGAAGGUUAAUUGAUGGGGUCAGCGCAAGCGAAGCUCCUGAUCGAAGCCCCGGUAAACGGCGGCCGUAACUAUAACGGUCCUAAGGUAGCGAAAUUCCUUGUCGGGUAAGUUCCGACCUGCACGAAUGGCGUAAUGAUGGCCAGGCUGUCUCCACCCGAGACUCAGUGAAAUUGAACUCGCUGUGAAGAUGCAGUGUACCCGCGGCAAGACGGAAAGACCCCGUGAACCUUUACUAUAGCUUGACACUGAACAUUGAGCCUUGAUGUGUAG
rnacentral:rRNA from 1 species